CGGGUGAGUAACACUGGGUAACCUGCCCAUCAGAAGGGGAUAACACUUGGAAACAGGUGCUAAUACCGUAUAACAAUCGAAACCGCAUGGUUUCGGUUUGAAAGGCGCUUUUGCGUCACUGAUGGAUGGACCCGCGGUGCAUUAGCUAGUUGGUGAGGUAACGGCUCACCAAGGCAACGAUGCAUAGCCGACCUGAGAGGGUGAUCGGCCACAUUGGGACUGAGACACGGCCCAA
rnacentral:rRNA from 1 species